rnacentral:rRNA from 1 species
CCCGCACAAGCAGCGGAGCGUGUGGUUUAAUCCGAUGUUACACGAAGAACCUUACCUGGGAUUGACAUGGAGGUGGUAGGGAAGCGAAAGCGGACCGACUCUUCGGAGAGCCUUCACAGGUGCUGCAUGGCUGUCGUCAGCUCGUGCCGUGAGGUGUCGGGUUAAGUCCCGUAACGAGCGCAACCCUUGCCCUUAGUUACAAGUGUCUAGGGGGACUGCCGGCGGGAAGCCGGAGGAAGGUGGGGAUGACGUCAAGUCAGCAUGGCCCUUAUAUCCAGGGCUACACACACGCUACAAUGGCCAGUACAAAGGGCUGCGAUACCGCGAGGUGGAGCGAAUCCCAGAAAGCCGGUCUCAGUUCGGAUUGGGGUCUGCAACUCGACCCCAUGAAGUCGGAGUCGCUAGUAAUCGCAGAUCAGCAACGCUGCGGUGAAUACGUUCCCGGGCCUU